CAAUUCCCAAUCCUGAUCCCAUCCCAAUCCCAUCCCUGCCCCGAUCCCAAAUCCCAGUCUUGGUCCCAUCCCCGUACAAACCCCAAACCCCAAUAAUCCCCAAAUCCCAAACCCCAAACCCCAAACCCAAAUCUCAAAUCCCAAAUCCCAAAUUCCCAAUUCCCAAUCCCAGUCCCCAAUUCCUAAUUCCCAAUUCCCAAAUCCCCAAUUCCCUGUUCCCUGUUCCCAAUUCCCAAUCCCCAAUUCCCAGUUCCCAAUUCCCAAUCCCCAAUUCCAAGUUCCCAAUUCUCAAUUCCCAAUCCCCAAUUCCCAAAUUCCCAAUCCCCAGUUCCCAAUUCCCAGUUCCCAAUCCCCAAUCCCAAAUUCCCAAUCCCCAAUCCCCAAUUCCCAAUUCCCAAAUCCCAAUCCCCAAUUCCCAAUUCCCAAUUCCCUGUUCCCAACCCCCCAAAUCCCCAAUUCCCAAUUCCCAAUCCCAAAUUCCCAAUUCCCAAUCCCCAGUUCCCAAUUCCCAAAUCCCAAAUCCCAAACCCCAAACCCCAAAUCCCAAAUUCCCCAAAUCCCAAUCCCCAAUUCCCAAUCCCUAAAUCCCAAUUCCCAAUUCCCAAUUCCCGGUUCCCAACCCCCCAAAUCCCCAAUUCCCAAUCCCAAAUUCCCAAUUCCCAGUUCCCAAUUCCCAAUUCCCAAACCCCAAAUCCCAAAUCCCAAACCCCAAAUCCCAAAUUCCCCAAAUCCCAAUUCCCAAAUUCCCCAAUCCCCAAUUCCCAAUUCCCAAAUCCCCAAUUCCCUGUUCCCUGUUCCCAAUUCCCAAUCCCCAAUUCCCAGUUCCCAAUCCCAAUUCCCAGUUCCCAAUCCCAAUCCCCAAUUCCAAGUUCCCAAUUCUCAAUUCCCAAUCCCCAAUUCCCAAAUUCCCAAUCCCCAGUUCCCAAUUCCCAAAUCCCAAAUUCCCAGAUCCCAAACCCCAAAUCCCAAAUCUCAAACCCCAAAUUCCCAAAUCCCAAAUUCCCAAAUUCCCCAAUUCCCAAAUCCCAAUUCCCAAUCCCCAGUUCCCAGUUCCCAAUUCCCAAAUCCCAAAUUCCCAAAUCCCAAACCCCAAAUCCCCAAUUCCCAAUUCCCAAAUUCCCCAGUUCCCAAUUCCCAAAUCCCAAAUCCCCAAUUCCCAAUUCCCAAAUUCCCCAAUCCCAAUUCCCAAACCCCAAAUUCCCAAAUCCCGGUUCCCGGUUCCCGCCCCUCACCUGUUGAGCCCCCGCACCAUGUAGGACUGGAGAUCCACGGAGCUGCGGGGACAGGACAGGUGAGAGCCCAGGUGAGACCUGGGACACCUGGGGACACCCUCAGGGACACCUGGGGACACCCUCAGGGACACCCUCAGGG
rnacentral:lncRNA from 1 species